GUUUGGAGCAACAUGAAAAUUGUUAUCCAGUCCUCUGAAUGAGCAGGUGUUUGAGACGAAACACGGAGGAGAAAUGAGUAUCCAGGCUCAAAGUUACACAAACAACAACACAACGUCCUUCCGUCCAGCCUCAGUUGUUGCCCAGAUGUCCAGUGACUCUUUCAGAACAACAGGAGCUCCAAUAAACUGCAGCCUCAGGUUCAAAACCACUGGAAACACUCUACAAAACAUUCACCGUAAUAGUUUGGUUUAGUGAAGUUUAUUGUCAUUCCAAUUGACUGCAUUAGACUAACCGGGACUUGUCACAACAUUUAUAUAUUGUUGCUCUUUUGUUGUUUUGAUUGCUUCUAUUGCCCUAAUUUG